rnacentral:rRNA from 1 species
AUAGGGGAGCCGCAGGGAAACCGAGUCUUAAUUGGGCGUUAAGUUGCAGGGUAUAGACCCGAAACCCGGUGAUCUAGCCAUGGGCAGGUUGAAGGUUGGGUAACACUAACUGGAGGACCGAACCGACUAAUGUUGAAAAAUUAGCGGAUGACCUGUGGCUGGGGGUGAAAGGCCAAUCAAACCGGGAGAUAGCUGGUUCUCCCCGAAAGCUAUUUAGGUAGCGCCUCGUGAAUUCAUCUCCGGGGGUAGAGCACUGUUUCGGCUAGGGGGCCAUCCCGGCUUACCAACCCGAUGCAAACUGCGAAUACCGGAGAAUGUUAUCACGGGAGACACACGGCGGGUGCUAACGUCCGUCGUGAAGAGGGAAACAACCCAGACCGCCAGCUAAGGUCCCAAAGUCAUGGUUAAGUGGGAAACGAUGUGGGAAGGCCCAGACAGCCAGGAUGUUGGCUUAGAAGCAGCCAUCAUUUAAAGAAAGCGUAAUAGCUCACUGGUCGAGUCGGCCUGCGCGGAAGAUGUAACGGGGCUAAACCAUGCACCGAAGCUGCGGCAGCGACGCUGAUGCGUUGUUGGGUAGGGGAGCGUUCUGUAAGCCUGUGAAGGUGUGUCGUGAGGC